AAAGCAUUUCCUGAUCUUGGUUGAAUGAUUCAAUUUCACUGUGACUAAACCCAGCUCCGGGUUGCUCAUGCAGUGGGAGAGCGGAGGCCAGAUGCUGUGUGCAAUUCAGAUGGAAAGCCCUGGAACUGUGAGCAGCUAUUUCGGAACAAAGAAAUAAAUGGAGAUGUGUGUGCUCUUUUGCCUUGGAAGUCCAUCCCUGUUUGCAGGAACCAUUGUGCCAUCUGAAACAGAGCAGCGAACUGCAUGGAAAAAAAGACUUCUGGUUGAGCAACUGCUGUUAAUACUGUAAGAAGGUUUUCAUAUGCCUGGGCCUACUGCUUCUAAACAAAAGAUAAAGGUAGAGUGUAAUUAAGAUGGAAGGAUCCAGCAACCUACCCGGCGGCCCAAAAGGUCCCGUCUCUCCUUUCUGGCCAGGGGCACCAUCAAACCCUGGAAUACCCGGUGGUCCAGGUAAACCUAUCGAUCCUGACACACCUAAAACAAAGGAAAAAGAAUUCAUGAGCUGCUCCCGGUCCCUUGGAAAAUUAAAUUUGGUUUUGAUGAAAAUUUAAAGAAGAACCAAGAAGGCACAUGUUUCCAAUCACGUAAUGAAACUGCAGAAUGAUCCCAAGUGGGGGGCGCAGGACACAGUCUGGUUUCACCUGCCUCCCCAAUGGACCACGCGACACUGGAAGGCUGAGAACUGUUUUACUCACCUUUCACAUGUAAAGGUCACAGCACCUGGAA